rnacentral:lncRNA from 1 species
CUGGGUAGGUCCAUAUAGGGUCAUUUGGGAAUUAAUAAAUUCGGUACCUCGGGGGUUCGUUUGCAAUUUAAGAGGUGGAAAUUUGUAUUUUUAAAUCGUGGGUAAUUACGCGUGCGAGAGUGGCCAGAGGGGGGUGGUCGGUUAUCUUCGAUUAGCCUAUACAGAUAACAAAAUUGGGGUUACUGAUUACACACCCACACAACACACACCACAGAAGAGAAGAAGAAGAAGAAGAAGAGAAGAAGAAAGUGAGCCAUGCAUGGGAGAUGGAGUGGCGGAACAGCAGCUGUGGAGAGUAACAUUGGCGCUCAAGGGCAGCCGCGACGGAGCGGAGUGGCAGUGUCGGUAACAGCGUUUCCGACCACAGUAGUGGCGUUUUCGAUCGUGAUGGAUGUAGGUUUCUUGUUCCCUUUUCCUUAUGUAUUGGCUGUUGGGUUCAGCAAUGGGGAAUGGUUUUGAUGUUUUUUGUUUGUGGAAUAAUGAAUGGAAGUCAUCAUUUGGGGAUUAUUGCAUUAUGGAUGAAAAAGAAGAAGAUAGAAAAGGAGAGAGAGAAUCGAAACCAAUCUGGUUUUAGAGCGAGAAACCGGGGGUUCUCCUAAAUGGAAAAAUAACAAAAUUUUAUGAUGGUGUGGUCGAGUCCCAGAGGUCUAGCUGUUGCAUUCUAGUGCAUUUGGCCUAUUCGGGUAGACCUUUGACGCUAGUAAGGACCUUGCUUAUAUUUCUCGGCGUGCAGAAUCCAUUUUUGAGGUUAUUUUCAGCAGAUUUAUAUCAGAAAGUUACGAUCUAAAAUUGGUUGAAUCACACGGCAAUUGUGAUGAUCAUUCAACGGUUGGACUUUACCCGAUCAUUGCGAAUUUUCAGUAUGUUGUUCCUUGCACUACAAUUGGUUUAUAGUUGGUACCCACUUUGUGAACCUCUAGAUUGAUAGUUUUCAUGGAGUAUUGUGAGUUAGUACAUCAUUUAUUUUUUCUUACUUAAAAUUUUUAGACUUUGUUUAGAGGUUGGUUGAUGAUGGGCCCACUAGAGAUUUUGGAUGUUAGUUGGAUUGUUUUAUGAUUUACAGUUUAAAAAAUAUUUUUUUUCGAUUUUAUUUAGUUGGAUUGUUUUAUGGUUUUACAAUUUAACACAUAUUUAUUGUCGAUUUGGUUGGUUGGUGAUCUAUUGGUCAGUUCACGGCCGGUCACGCAUUCAGAUUUUGGGCGUGACAAUAAGUACGCCUAAGACACUAUAAAUUGCUCAUAAAAAAAAUAGAACACUUAAUCUUUAUGAUUAACAUUCUUCUUCAUUAAAAAAGUCACUAAAUGCAAGGGGAAAAAAGAAAAUUCAAAUUUAAUUUCCUUUAGUAUCAUAUACCAAUGCACUAAUCAUGCCAACUCAAAAACAUCAAAGAGAACAUACAACAUUAAAAACCAAUUCAAGGAAAAAAAUUAUAAAAGACCUCAAAUUGAGGUUAAAAUUGUAACCUCGAAAAACUUAAGGCCAACACUGUGCACAAUCGAAGCCCUAAUUAUAUAAGUGCUUUCAGGAAAGAGAGGAGGAAAACGGGAGGAAAUGAGGGGGAAGGUAAAGAGAAGAGCAAAGUCAAUAGUCAAGUCCAACCCGUAUUGAAGCAUAAAACUCUGUAUUAAGCUAGCCCAAGCCUGUAAAAUAUAAUCAUCUUUAAUACCCCAUUCCAAACUUCCAAUAAAAUCUCAUGAUGUGCAGUGCAAUAACCAGCCUAAUCAGUAUGCUUUGGUGCCAAAGGGUUAACAACUAUUUAUAAUACAAUCACAAUUACGUGAAUUUAAAUCUAUCUCUCGCUAUUCUACGGUUGAAAUUCAUUGAGUUAAUUCAACGGCUGAGAUUACAUUAAAUUAUUUUUUCGCCCCAAAAUAUCACUUCCUUCUUCUCAAAAUGUGUGAAAUCCGUAUAUAUUUUUAUUCAAUGGACAAAAAAUCUUUCAAGAUGGGCAUAUCUUUCAAGAUGGGCAUACGAGAGAAAAAAUGUGUGGAACACACACAUUUUGUUUUUUUUGUAUUUAAUAUUUUUUUUACUAUUGAUUAACUUGUUACAUAUUUUGUAUUUGAUGAUAAGAGCCUAAAAAAAUAUAAAACAAUUAUUUAAUUUGGAGAUAUUUUUUUUUAUUUUAGGUGAACUUUCUCUUAAAUUAGAUAAUUUUUUAACAUUUUUAAACUAUUUUUCAAGAGAAAACCAAAAAAGUAUAAAAACCCACCCACAAAAAAAAAAAAAAAAAAAAAAUAUAUUGAUUAAUCGGUGAAAAAAUGAUUAAAGACAAAAAGUAAAAAUAAAGAAGAUAAAAGAAAAUUUGACCUCAAAUAGAAAGAAAGUUAUUUUCAUACGUCCAUUUUUUUAUAUUAUUAAAAUAAUUUAUCUCAUUAUUGAAUAAAACUAAUUUAAGUAAAAAUAAUAUUUAAUAUUUAUCAUAAUAAUGACAAAAAACAUUUAUAAUAUAAGACACAAAUAUUUUGAAUCUUUUAAACCAACUAUUAUAAAACAAAAAUUAUUUGGAAUUUCAAAUCUAGAUUUUUCAUUUGAGUACGCCUAGAUUAUUGAAAUGAUUUAUUCAAUGGUUGUAAAUAAACAUAUUUGAGGAAAAAUAAAUAUUUAAAGAAAUUUAUCAUACUAAGAUAAAAAAUAUAAAAAUUCUAAUAAGUACGCGGGCCUAAGAGUGGUAUUUUUUUUUUUUAAUAUAGCUGGACACGAGCAAUACUAGUUUUGUAUAAUUUACCAGUGAAAGAAACGAAACGAUUUGUGAGAUCACCCACGAAAAGGCACAAAGUUAAUAAAUGAGUUAUAGAAUUUUGAAAAUUUAAUUAGUUACAAACUUAUAAUCAUGCUUCUAGAUAAACUCAACUACAUUUAUUAGACUGAUCAGAAAUAUCUGCAAUAUAUUGAAAUAGAAUGAAAAUUCUUCGUAUACCUGUUUGUUUGAUGAUCAAUUGGUUCUUUCCAUAAACCUGUAAAUGUAAGCGAGUGAAUUUACAUAAGCCCACUACUUAAUUUCCACUUGAAAAAGGAACAUAGAGUUAUAAGAGGGAGGAAAUUACAUGGGGGGAAACUAAGAAAAACGAAAAGAAUAGGAAAGAGGGAGGAAAUUACAUGUUAGGAAACUAGGAAAGACGAAAAGGGAAAAAGAAAGUGGGAGGAAAGUAGUUUCCAGGAAUGCGCAUUGAAUUUGAUCCAGUGAUUUCACUACUUUAACUUUAAGCGAUGGUAAAUUGCAAAAAAUAGUCCUGAUCGUUUUUCCCAACUUAUAUUUUGGUUUCUAAAUUUUCAAAUCUCAAGAUUUAAACCUUCUAUUUUGAUAUUCUUGUCUAAUAAGUUCAAUUGAUAACGGAAGUUAGGUUCUUUUAAUAGAAUUGCAGAACAUGCCCAAACUGUAACCUCAUUUUAUGGCAAUUGACAGUGAAAUUGAACAAAUUACAAUAGUAUUUGGGCGAUUUAUUAUGAAAAUUAGUUGAAAAUGGGAGGAGAAGAUUUAUUUUAAUCCUUAAAUGAUGGUCCAUAUUUGGAAAGUAAAAAUCUGUACAAGAAACGUUAACAUUUGGAGUUAAAAUCGUAGGAUUUGAAAAUAUAGAGACCAAAAUCACAAAUGAAUGAAACUACAGGGAUGAUAUUUUAAUUUACCCCUAGAAGAAACAGGAGAGGAAAUUAAGGGCGUGUUUUGAAAAAGAAAGAGAGAGGAAGAAAAAUAAAUGAGGGAAAAAAUAGAAAAAGUUGGGUCAUUUUAUUUUGGUCGACUUUGCAAAGAAAAUAGAAAUAGAUUAAGCACACAGCUUUUCUGCCGUCUAUUUUUGGAUUGUAUUAUUGCAGUUUAAGUAUUUUGAGCUUCGUUUUAAACUCAUUUUGAUGAUUCAAACUUUAAUAUUGUAGAUUUUAUCUAGAACUUUAAUAUUAUUAAAAAUUAACUUUAGUACAAAUUAAUAGUACAUCAAUAUCAAUUUAUAUCAAGAUAAAUGAGUAUAAUUAUGUGUGUCACACUCAUUUUUUAAAGUUAUAAAACAGUAUUGAACUACUAAACUUCACGUGAAAUUUGUUAACUUCUUUUAUGAAUAAAUCAACCAAAAAAAUAGUUUUUUUUAUUAUGUAUAUUCAUUUUGUUUUCAUUAUCAAAUGUUUACAACUAAUUCUACUAAAACAAAUAUUAGGUACAACUAAAAAGCACAAUAAAGGCUUGUUUGGAUUGUGGAUUUUUUGUUGGUUACAUUUGGAUUUUGAAAUAAACUAAAAAACUGUGUAACUAUUUUCAUGGUCAUAAGGAUUUGUAUUAGUGAUAAAUUCUUUUAGGUACCCAAAAAAGCGUUAUAGAAUUUUUUUAAUUAUAUUAAUUUUAUAAAAUUAAAGAUAUUUAAAUUUAAUUUAUUAUGUAUUAAAGAUAUUGAACUGAAUAUAUUUUUCUCCGAAAGAAAAUAGGAAGAUAAAUAAAAAAUUAAACCUAUAUAAGAGAGCAUUUAAAUUCAAAUUCAAAUUCAAAUUCAAAUUUACAUUUUUCAAGGUUACCCAUUUAUUCCUCACUUUUAAAUUACUAUACAUCUAUUUAAAAUGGUAGUUUUGGAAGCUUACAAAUCUCAUGUUUUGACUUCUAUCAACCAUUUUAGAACACCCCAAAUUAAAAAAAAAAUAAUACCCAGAAUAAUUACUCAUAAAAGUAGGGGCAGAACCAUGAUAUUAGUUCAGUAGAGUAAAAAUUAUAAAUAUAUAUAUAAUUAUGAAAUAAUAGUGUAACUUUUAUUUUAGUGGGAUCAAAAUUAUAUUAGUAGAAUAUUUUUUUUCCAGUGAGUGAUAGUGUAAUUUUUUUUUCAGUGGAUCAAUUAACCUCAUACCAUGGCUCUGGCUCUGGCUCUGCCUCCGCCCUUGCAUAUAAGUACAUUUUUAAAUCACAAAACUCACAUUCUGGUAAAUUUUUGAAAUAAAAUUUUAGGUCUUUAUCAUUUUCGAAGCAAAAAAUUUGGUUUUUUUUCUUCUAGUUUAUGAUUUUCUAUGGAUUGAGCACUCCCAAU